rnacentral:rRNA from 1 species
AGAGUUUGAUCAUGGCUCAGGACGAACGCUGGCGGCGCGCCUAACACAUGCAAGUCGAACGAGAGAUGAGGAGCUUGCUCUUCAAAUCGAGUGGCGAACGGGUGAGUAACGCGUGAGGAACCUGCCUCAAAGAGGGGGACAACAGUUGGAAACGACUGCUAAUACCGCAUAAGCCCACGGCUCGGCAUCGAGCAGGGGGAAAAGGAGCAAUCCGCUUUGAGAUGGCCUCGCGUCCGAUUAGCUAGUUGGUGAGGUAAUGGCCCACCAAGGCGACGAUCGGUAGCCGGACUGAGAGGUUGAACGGCCACAUUGGGACUGAGACACGGCCCAGACUCCUACGGGAGGCAGCAGUGGGGAAUAUUGCACAAUGGGGGAAACCCUGAUGCAGCGACGCCGCGUGGAGGAAGAAGGUCUUCGGAUUGUAAACUCCUGUUGUUGAGGAAGGUAAUGACGGUACUCAACAAGGAAGUGACGGCUAACUACGUGCCAGCAGCCGCGGUAAAACGUAGGUCACAAGCGUUGUCCGGAAUUACUGGGUGUAACGGGAGCGCAGGCGGGAGAACAAGUUGGAAGUGAAAUCCAUGGGCUCAACCCAUGAACUGCUUUCAAAACUGUUUUUCUUGAGUAGUGCAGAGGUAGGCGGAAUUCCCGGUGUAGCGGUGGAAUGCGUAGAUAUCGGGAGGAACACCAGUGGCGAAGGCGGCCUACUGGGCACCAACUGACGCUGAGGCUCGAAAGUGUGGGUAGCAAACAGGAUUAGAUACCCUGGUAGU